UACGGGGGGGGUAAGCGUUGUUCGGAAUUACUGGGCGUAAAGGGCUCGUAGGCGGCCAACUAAGUCGGACGUGAAAUCCCUCAGCUUAACUGGGGAACUGCGUCCGAUACUGGAUGGCUUGGAUUUGGGAGAGGGAUGCGGAAUUCCAGGUGUAGCGGUGAAAUGCGUAGAUAUCUGGAGGAACACCGGUGGCGAAGGCGGCAUCCUGGACCAAUAUUGACGCUGAGGAGCGAAAGCCAGGGGAGCAAGCAGGG
rnacentral:rRNA from 1 species